rnacentral:rRNA from 1 species
AGAUUGAACGCUGGCGGCAUGCCUUACACAUGCAAGUCGAACGGUAGAGUAGCAAUACUUGAGAGUGGCGAACGGGUGAGUAAUAUAUCGGAACGUGCCCAGUCGUGGGGGAUAACGUAGAGAAAUUUACGCUAAUACCGCAUACGAUCUAAGGAUGAAAGCGGGGACCGUAAGGCCUCGCGCGAUUGGAGCGGCUGAUAUCAGAUUAGGUUGUUGGUGAGGUAAAAGC